CCGCCGCGGUAGUAACAAUUUAGAAGCCCAAGCUUAGCAACAGCACGUGGUGGCCCGGCCCACGAGCUCGCUGAAUGGCGGCUGGUGUGCAUGUUAAGUAGGCACUACGAGCCGAUUGGUCCAGAGAGGUCUAUGUAAAAUAGGGACCACGGACCAAUGGCCGGGGGUGCGCGGCCAAUGAGGGCGCCCCGGCUGGACGCGUUGCUGAGAGGAAGCGGAGCUUGGUGGGGCAACCGCGGUGGGGCUGCCAGCCGUCCUGCCACGCGCAAGGGCCCGUUAGAGCGCGGGGGUGUGCCUCAUGCGCCCGGCGGUCCGCUGGGUCUGCGCACUGUGCGUAGGAACCUGUUGCCUCCGGCCGGCUGCAACACUAGGUCCGCGGGAGCGCUUGACCUCGAGGUCUCCUCGGAGCCUGGCAUGGGGCUGCAAAGCUACACCCCUGCCCGCGGAACGGAGGGACCCCAAAAAGGCCGGGUCUGGAGGAGGGCGUUGACGGUCUGAGACUAAGAGCCAGGUCUCCUUGAGGAUCUCAACGGGCAAACAGGCCCAGGAAGGGAUUGGCCCAGUGGACCGCAGGGCCCAAGGAGGGGCCCAAGGCCUAAAGAGGGGGUCAGUGAUCUGCCGCCACACUCGAUGAGGAAACUGAGAACCCUGAGGUUUAGGGACUUCCAGGGUCUAGCGGCAAUCCCAGCAGCAUGGAGAUCAGUGCCCCCACACACAUGACCCAGAGCUGGUGACACCGGAGCUUGGAGACCAAGCCACCUCCUGGGCCCAUAAGAGUUGCUGGAGGUAGGAGCCACGGCGUAGCAACACCCAGUGGGGAACCCCGAUACUAACAUCAGACGUCCCUGAAGGGACACUGAAACGACACUGAUGUUAACCCCGGCCCCUCCUGCUCCUGCUCCAGUCACCUAGGGCCAGGUGCAGGAGCUGUGCAGGGGAAGGCAGGGUGCUCAGUUUGGGGGAGGAGCAGGUGCACUCUGGGUUCGGCGGUAGAGGCCUAACCCAGGCUCACCACCUGGUGGCCAGAAGUUUGCAAGGUCACUCCAUCCCUUCUGUGAGGCGUGGGUUGCUGGCCCCUGCCCGCCGGAGAGGAGAGGGGGUGGUCCCCACCUCGCCUGAAUCUACAUCUAGGCCUUUUCGGGGACUUCUCCCUCAGCCAUUUCGCGACAGAGCACUGCCGGAUCCCCCGAGGGAACACAAAACCCUUAAAAAACGUCUAGAAGAGGACUUCCUCGCCUCUUGCGCGUUUCCAGGGCCCUGUUCCCUUUCUCUGCACCCAGGAUGGCUCCACCACCACACACGACGUGCGGCUCUCAGCACAGCAUGGAAGCACCCUGUCCUGGGGUGGGAAGGUCUGCGAGGCCCCCUCUCCUCCGGGGCCUCCUCACACUUUCAGGACGACCUAGCCCAAACCCAUCUGCUCCCUUACCUCGGCGCUGGCGUGGACUCCCUGCUGACACCCAAGUCCCCGCGCCAGCAUUCCGGCUGCAAGUGAGGGGCUGCCCUGCCCACCUGGGGGCCCACGGCCUCGCUCUGGGGGCAGCAGGUUUGGGCAGGUAGCUCCCUGCAGGCCGGUUCUGGGUCUGAGGGGCCCAGGGACAGACAGCCCAGCCUACGGUCACCAGGUGCUGGGAGGCCAUGUCUAGCCCAGCAGUGCAACAGCCUCCCAGAAGCCUUGAGUCUCCUGCCCUGAGAUGCCCAGUGUACACAGGAUCAGGGCAGAGUCCUGAGGGGCUCUGUCCCUGGUGCUUCCCCCACAGCCGCCCAGGAUUCCAGUCUGACCGCAGGACCUGUAAAACAGUUGGUGCCUGCCUCUCGAGUUGGUUGUGGGGUGCGAUGAAGGUUGCACGAAAGCCUGGGCGGCAGUGGGCUGCACGUAGGACCACCCAGGAAGUGGUGGUGAUGAGGGACUAUACAGAAAGUACUCAAAUCC